rnacentral:sRNA from 1 species
AGUUUCUGAAUGCAUUAUCGAGCCAAGAUUUAUUACAAAACCUUGCAACAAUGUGGUUUGGGACAAGAAGCUGACCAUGAUUUUAACCUGAUAGUAAAACGGGCCUUGUCUCUUGACAGCUGAAAGUCUGAAACAAGAUCAUAAUAUUUCUCAAGCGCUGAACUAACACAAGUAAGGGAAUGGAAGUGAAUACUUGUUCUGAAGCAACUGGCAUGAAAAUGUACCUCUCAAGUAUCUGGUUUUUUCUAAUCUCCUUCCGUGAAAAGAAAGAUUCUUAGGGUACCAAGGCAAAGGCUUGAUUGCCUCCAAUUCACCACUCUCUAUGGCCUUAAGUAUGCUUCUUAUGUCUAUCAUCAAUGAGACACUAGAAAAAUGAAAGAGUCAUGAAUCAACCUCAGCCCGAAGAGAUUUCAUGAAAUCAUUCUCCAAUUUCAAUCAAAUCCCAUCACAAAAUUGACCACUGAAGAAUCAAAAACAGAGGCCACUUAGUCAAAAAAAACUCUGAAACUCCAUAAACGAAUCCCACUCUUCAGCUUUCACUAUCCUUUGUUCCUUACACAACUUCACAACAAGACAUUACAAUGGUGUUUAUUAGAAGUAAAGUUUCAAAAUCCAUGGAAGCCAUUGAUUCUAUUGAGG